rnacentral:misc_RNA from 1 species
GUGGGGGAGGGCAGGGGGC